UGUGCAUACUCUUCAAGCCCUGAACUUA
rnacentral:piRNA from 1 species